AGAAUUGAUCUUGGUCAGGAUGAACGCUGGCGGCGUGCCUAACACAUGCAAGUCGAACGGGGUUAUGACGCUGAGGAGACUUCGGUCAAAUCUUGUUGUAACUAGUGGCGGACGGGUGAGUAACGCGUGGAUAACCUGCCAUACACAGGGGGAUAACAGUUAGAAAUGACUGCUAAUACCGCAUAAGCGCACGAGAGGGCAUCCUUUUGUGUGAAAAGCGCAUACGGUGUAUGAUGGGUCCGCGUCCGAUUAGCCAGUUGGCGGGGUAAGAGCCCACCAAAGCGACGAUCGGUAGCCGGCCUGAGAGGGUGAACGGCCACAUUGGGACUGAGAGACGGCCCAAACUCCUACGGGAGGCAGCAGUGGGGGAUAUUGCACAAUGGGGGGAACCCUGAUGCAAGCGACGCCGCGUGAGUGAAGAAGUUAUUCGUAAUGUAAAGCUCUAUCAGCAGGGAAGAAACAGACGGUACCUGACUAAGAAGCACCGGCUAAAUACGUGCCAGCAGCCGC
rnacentral:rRNA from 1 species